UCUGGCGACCGGCGCACGGGUGAGUAACACGUAUCCAACCUGCCCUCUACUCGGGGAUAGCCUUUCGAAAGAAAGAUUAAUACCCGAUAGCAUAAUGAUUCCGCAUGGUUUCAUUAUUAAAGGAUUCCGGUAAAGGAUGGGGAUGCGUUCCAUUAGGUUGUUGGUGAGGUAACGGCUCACCAAGCCUUCGAUGGAUAGGGGUUCUGAGAGGAAGGUCCCCCACAUUGGAACUGAGACACGGUCCAA
rnacentral:rRNA from 1 species